rnacentral:snoRNA from 1 species
AUACUGAAUUAAGAAGAGAUUUACCAUCUGUCUGAUGUAUCU